rnacentral:tRNA from 1 species
GGAGAGUUGUCCGAGUGGUUGAAGGAGCGCGCCUGGAAAGUGCGUAAAGCUCAAAAGGCUUUCAAGAGUUCGAAUCUCUUACUCUCCGCAA